rnacentral:rRNA from 1 species
UACGGAGGGUGCGAGCGUUGUCCGGAAUCACUGGGCGUAAAGGGCGCGUAGGCGGCUGGGGAAGUCCGUGGUGAAAGCUCGUGGCUCAACUGCGAGUCGGCCACGGAGACUCCUCAGCUCGAGCACUGUAGAGGCAGGUGGAAUUCCGGGUGUAGCGGUGGAAUGCGUAGAGAUCCGGAAGAACACCGGUGGCGAAGGCGACCUGCUGGGCAGUAGCUGACGCUGAGGCGCGACAGCGUGGGGAGCAAACAGG